CGGGGGUGCCCUUGGGCUGAGACGGCAAACGCCGAACCCUUGAACCUGAUCCGGAUCAUACCGGCGUAGGAAGUUUCUGA
rnacentral:ncRNA from 1 species